rnacentral:rRNA from 1 species
GGCUCUGCCAGCCGGUCCGCCUUCUUGGUGUGUACUUGUUUGGUGGAGCCUUACCUCCUGGUGAACAGCGAUGUCCUUCACUGGGUGUCGUUGCAAACCAGGACGUUUACUUUGAAAAAAUUAGAGUGUUUAAAGCAGGCAUUCGCUUGAAUACAUUAGCAUGGAAUAAUAAAAUAGGAC